GACGAACGCUGGCGGCGUGCUUAACACAUGCAAGUCGAACGGAAAGGCCCUGCUUUUGUGGGGUGCUCGAGUGGCGAACGGGUGAGUAACACGUGAGUAACCUGCCCUUGACUUUGGGAUAACUUCAGGAAACUGGGGCUAAUACCGGAUAGGAGCUCCUGCUGCAUGGUGGGGGUUGGAAAGUUUCGGCGGUUGGGGAUGGACUCGCGGCUUAUCAGCUUGUUGGUGGGGUAGUGGCUUACCAAGGCUUUGACGGGUAGCCGGCCUGAGAGGGUGACCGGCCACAUUGGGACUGAGAUACGGCCCAGACUCCUACGGGAGGCAGCAGUGGGGAAUAUUGCACAAUGGGCGGAAGCCUGAUGCAGCAACGCCGCGUGCGGGAUGACGGCCCUCGGGUUGUAAACCGCUUUCGCCUGUGACGAAGCGUAAGUGACGGUAAUGGGUAAAGAAGCACCGGCUAACUACGUG
rnacentral:rRNA from 1 species